UCGAACUGAUUUGGAGCUGAAACGUCCUUUCUGCACGAAUCGAGCAGGGAGGGACGGCCUGCCCUGCUGCAUUUUUUAGGAGUGCGCGCAGGGCUAAGCUGUUUACUCACGCGCGAAGAAUGCGUAGUUGUUCACCCGGGAGGGGUCAGACUGGGAGCGGUGCGGCUUCAUUGCUCUCCGUUCUUGUUCUAAAAUGGAUGAUCCUUCCCGGAACCGCACAAACAGGUUUACUUGUCAUGAGGCUGAAAUGAGGGAUAGAUAUUCCCUACAAAGACACAGAUUAAUUUUCCAUACUGGAUCCUCCAUCUUGACCUAUUCCUUCCAAGAGAACAACUCGUGACUGCUUUACCAAUGACGUUAUUGUUGCAGGUCUUUUCCACCAAAAGUGGUGGGCCUGCCUGUUGGAAUGGUGGUUGUUGUGACUGCCUGCCUAAGAAGAUGAUGCAAGUGGAAUAGGACUGACAGCAAGCCCAGGAGCAGGCUAACAUGAAGGAUGAGGUGCACCAAGCUCAGGGAGAGGUCACAGCCCCAGGACAAAUGGUUUGGUUUUGCUCAGUAAGGGGAUCAAGGAUGGUGAGGAUAAGGCAGGAGAAUGGAGUUAAGAAACGUAUCAGCCAUAAUCGAAUGGAAGAACAGACUUCAAGGAUUGAAUGACCUAAUUCUGCUCGAUAUCUUAUGGACUACUCCCUUAUUUUUCCUGUUUUAUUGCCAUUGGGCAGCAUUAUUCUGUUGAUUAUUCUGCAAUUCACACCUCCUGCAGAAACAUUUUUUGUUUCUAUAUGGGUCACAUUGCCAUUCUCUUUGGCUUUGCCUCAAUUACUUUAUCAUUUACAUAUAUCUUCUCAAAUGUUCUUUGUCCACUCUCACUUUC